GGUGGGAUAUCUGAGAAGGAAGAAAGCAAGAAAGCUCCAGUGACUGUAUCCCCACUGUGUUUGGGGAAAACUGAAGGAGCUUCCAGAAUAAAAGAUAAGUUAAAUAACCCUAGUGUCUAGAGACCAGGAAUUCUACCUCCAGGACCAGCCCACAGCCCUGACAAACCUCCAAAGGAGUUGUCGAUUUCAGUGAAGGGAUGAGGUCCCAGAGGACAGGUCAGCAGUGAAGAGGAGGCCUGCUUUGUCACUCUCUGUGGUUCACAGGGCAGAGGCCUCCUGCAAUCUGGAGAGAGAACCUGUUUUUCAAAACUGAGCUGGAAAUUGGGAACCAGUCACAAGACAGGAAGCCUGAAUUUCAUCUGCCAUGGCUGAAGAUUGAUGUUGCUGCAAUUAUAAUGGUUUCUGCAGUGGUUUGAAUAAGAGUGGCCCCCAUAGGCUCAUAGAUUCCAAUGCCUCAUCAUCAGGGAGUGCUACUGUUUGAAAAGGAUUAGGGGAUGUGUGUGGCCUUGUUGGAGGAAGUGCAUCACUGAAGGUGGGCUUUGGGGUUUCAGAAGCCCAAGUCAGGCCCAGUGCCUUUCUCUCUUCCUGCUGCCUGCAGAUCCAGAUGUAGAACUCUCAGCUCCUUCUCCAUGUCUGCCUACAGGCCACCGUGCUCUCCUCCAUGCUGACAAUGGACUAAACCUCUGAAACUGUAAGCGAGCCCCAGUUAACUGCUUCCUUUUACAAGAGUUGCUGUGUUCCUGGU